rnacentral:rRNA from 1 species
UUUUGACGGUACUUGGAGAAGAAGCACCGGCUAACUACGUGCCAGCAGCCGCGGUAAUACGUAGGGUGCGAGCGUUGUCCGGAAUUACUGGGCGUAAAGAGCUCGUAGGUGGUUUGUCGCGUCGUUUGUGGAAUACCGCAGCUUAACUGUGGGGUUGCAGGCGAUACGGGCAUAACUUGAGUGCUGUAGGGGAGACUGGAAUUCCUGGUGUAGCGGUGAAAUGCGCAGAUAUCAGGAGGAACACCGAUGGCGAAGGCAGGUCUCUGGGCAGUAACUGACGCUGAGGAGCGAAAGCAUGGGGAGCGAACAGGAUUAGAUACCCUGGUAGUCCAUGCCGUAAACGGUGGGCGCUAGGUGUGAGUCCCUUCCACGGGGUUCGUGCCGUAGCUAACGCAUUAAGCGCCCCGCCUGGGGAGUACGGCCGCAAGGCUAAAACUCAAAGGAAUUGACGGGGGCCCGCACAAGCGGCGGAGCAUGUGGAUUAAUUCGAUGCAACGCGAAGAACCUUACCUGGGCUUGACAUACACCAGAUCGGGCUAGAGAUAGUCUUUCCCUUGUGGUUGGUGUACAGGUGGUGCAUGGUUGUCGUCAGCUCGUGUCGUGAGAUGUUGGGUUAAGUCCCGCAACGAGCGCAACCCUUGUCUUAUGUUGCCAGCACAUAAUGGUGGGGACUCAUGAGAGACUGCCGGGGUUAACUCGGAGGAAGGUGGGGAUGACGUCAAAUCAUCAUGCCCCUUAUGUCCAGGGCUUCACACAUGCUACAAUGGUCGGUACAACGCGCAGCUUCCUUGUGAGGGGGUGCGAAUCGCUGAAAGCCGGUCGUAGUUCGGAUUGGGGUCUGCAACUCGACCCCAUGAAGUCGGAGUCGCUAGUAAUCGCAGAUCAGCAACGCUGCGGUGAAUACGUUCCCGGGCCUUGUACACACCGCCCGUCACGUCAUGAAAGUUGGUAACACCCGAAGCCAGUGGCCCAAACUCGUUAGGGAGCUGUCGAAGGUGGGAUCGGCGAUUGGGACGAAGUCGUAACAAGGUAGCCGUACCGGAAGGUGCGGCUGGAUCACCUCCUUU